AGCGAUCGGCGCCUGGGGCGGGGGGAGGAGAGCGGCGGCGGAGGCGGCGGCCCGCGGGUCCACGUCGGUUCCUUUCAACAACAUGGCGGAGGGGCCGGCUAGGGCGGAGUCGCCGCCUCCACCGGCGUCCGAGCCCCGCGCCCCGCUCGUCCCUUUGUUGACCGACCGAGGGAGGGGCGGCCGCCGCCGUUCUGCCCGGCCCCGCGAUCCUGGCGGCGGAGGAGCAUUACAGUGUUACUGCCAUCUAUGCACAAAAGACAACUUCACCUGUGUGACAGAUGGGCUUUGUUUUACCUCAGUGACGCGGAUUGCAGAUAGAGUCAUACACAACAGCAUGUGUAUAGCAGAAAUUGAUCUGAUUCCCCGAGACAGACCAUUUGUUUGUGCACCAUCCUCCAGAGAUGGAGUUACUACUUUGCCUCAUUGCUGUGACAAAGACCACUGCAAUAAAAUAGAACUUCCAAUUCCAACACCAGGUCCUACUCCAGGAAGACCAGCUUCUAGUCUAGGACCUGUGGAACUGGCAGCUGUUAUUGCUGGACCUGUCUGCUUUGUCUGCAUUUCAUUGAUGCUGAUUCUGUAUCUUUGUCAUAACCGUACUGUAAUUCAUCAUCGUGUGCCAAGUGAAGAAGAUCCUUCAUUGGAUCGUCCCUUUAUAUCUGAAGGAACUACUUUAAAGGAUUUAAUUUAUGAUAUGACGACUUCAGGCUCUGGGUCAGGUUUACCUUUACUUGUGCAAAGAACAAUUGCACGAACUAUAGUACUCCAAGAAAGUAUUGGUAAGGGUCGCUUUGGAGAAGUAUGGAGAGGGAAAUGGAGAGGAGAAGAAGUUGCUGUGAAGAUCUUCUCUUCAAGAGAAGAGCGCUCAUGGUUUCGAGAGGCAGAAAUUUAUCAAACAGUUAUGCUACGACAUGAAAACAUUCUUGGAUUCAUAGCUGCGGACAACAAAGACAAUGGUACGUGGACACAGCUGUGGUUGGUGUCAGAUUAUCACGAACAUGGGUCACUCUUUGAUUACCUGAACAGGUAUACAGUAACCGUGGAAGGAAUGAUAAAAUUAGCCUUGUCUACUGCCAGUGGCCUUGCUCAUCUUCACAUGGAAAUUGUUGGCACACAAGGCAAACCAGCGAUUGCCCACAGAGAUUUGAAAUCAAAAAACAUAUUGGUAAAAAAGAAUGGAACAUGCUGCAUUGCAGACCUGGGGUUGGCAGUUCGGCACGAUUCAGCUACAGACACAAUUGACAUUGCCCCCAACCACAGAGUAGGAACAAAAAGGUACAUGGCACCUGAAGUUUUAGAUGAUUCCAUAAAUAUGAAACAUUUUGAGUCAUUCAAACGAGCAGACAUCUAUGCAAUGGGAUUAGUAUUUUGGGAAAUUGCUCGUCGAUGUUCAAUCGGUGGAAUCCAUGAAGAUUACCAGUUGCCAUAUUAUGACCUAGUUCCUUCAGAUCCUUCUGUUGAAGAAAUGAAAAAAGUUGUUUGUGAGCAGAAGUUAAGGCCCAAUAUCCCAAACAGAUGGCAGAGCUGUGAGGCAUUACGAGUAAUGGCAAAAAUCAUGCGGGAGUGCUGGUAUGCCAACGGAGCUGCUAGGCUAACAGCUUUGCGUAUUAAGAAAACACUAUCACAGCUUAGUCAACAGGAGGGGAUAAAGAUGUAAUCCUGGAUUUGCUACCAAAAACAAACAAAAAAAAAAAACUGUAAAAAUCCAUAUCUGCACCAGAGUGGCGUGUUAAGAAGGUUAAUUGUUCUACCUCACUGGGGGAACAGAAGGAUAUUGCUGCCUUUUAAUACUUCAUAGGAACGUCACUUAUUAGGAUUUCUGUGGAUGUGCUAAGCAGUUGCUUUGGGUCCUUUCUGUGCACUAUGAACCUUUUUCUGAGGUUACUUAUAAAACAUCAUGUAGACUAGUUUUACUUUUACUGACCUAUGAUUUUUUUUUUUUAUUAUUAUUUGGAAAGUUCAUAGCUGGUCUUAACUUCUAGUAAACUGUACUGAAAACAAGAUCCAUUUUAAAAUGGAAAUGGUUCACUGUAUUGUUCUAGAGUGCAUUGAAGGCUUCUUAAGUGACGUUAUUCCUGCCUGGUACAUUGAGUAUUCUGAACCACUGUUACAGUUCUUUGAUUCAGAUUUUGAAUGUACUGUUGGAGUAUGCUUUGCUGCCCAUUAAGGUUGUAUGUCUUUUGAAUGCUUACCUUUAUUUGCAAAUUGACCUCAUUCAGUAGUGGGGAACAUAAAUUAUGCAACUAUAUACAUGAUUACUGGGUUUUUUUUUCCAUAUUUUCAAAACACUACAUUGCCUUUAAAAUAGAUUGUAUUAUAUCAGUAAGUGCUGCUUUUGAGUCUUUUCAUGCAUACCAGCAAGUAUACAAAGCCCAUGGUACUUUUGAUUUCCAAGAAUGAACUGUUCCUUUCCCUAGCUAAGAUUUAAUUCACACUCAUUUCAGCAAGUGAGUAUGUAAUUUGUGGAAUACCUUGAAUUUUACCAAAAUCUAAGUCUUUAAACCAUUGUAUGAGUCUCAAAUCAUGUAAACUGGUUAAUUCAUUGUCACGCUUUGUAAUUGCCAAGUCUUUACAAUUUAAGGUUUAUUUUAUGUGGUAAUUCUGAAAUAUUGAAGCACCCACCUACUUCAGAAAAAUAGCAAGAAAAUUAAGAUGAUCAUAAGGAAGAUUUUCCCCCUUCAAAUUAAUAAUAGAAGCAUAUAUUCUGUGCAGUUCUGUGGAGUCUUUAGGCUUAAAAGCUAAUAUUUGCAAUUAAAUGAGCAUGGAGUGUACUUGUAACUAGGGAGACUUAUUUAGGCUUUUGUACAAGAAAGCUAGAAGCUGCCUGUUAAUCUUCUGUGCAUUUUUUUGUGUGCCACUUACGAAGAAAGUGAUGAGCUAUAGAAACCAGUGAGCUGAAGGUCUUUAGAUACAAAUACCAGAAGACUCCAUCAGUGUUCUUCAGAGUUAGAAGAACAAAGCUUAUGAUGGCUUGUGUUAUCGUAAGAAUACAGAAAAGUAUGCCUGGCUUUAGUCAGACUUUGCCUGAAAUUGUAGGGACAUCAUAACAUCUUCACAGACUUAUUUAGAAAUUGAAUUCCUUCCUGCCCAACUUCUGGAUGAGGGUAGGGAAACUUUUUAAAAUUGUCCUUUUCAGGAUAUGUUUAAUUGCAGUGGUAGGAAGAGCGUGGUUGAUCUUUGGCUUCCUUCCUUAGUGCCUGGUAAUUAGUAUAUAAACUCACAAUUAACCUUUUACUCUCCAGGAGUAUUCUUGGUGAGCUACACACAGCAACCUUAAUUCUGCUUUCUUUUUGUUUUUCAGCAUAUAGCUCCUCGAAGGUUUUUCACAGAGCUAGUAGGGAUGGCAAGGUGAUUGCUAAUAGUAGCAUAGCUGAGAUUGUGCCCCUUCAUCUGUGAUACACAAUUGGUAACAGCAGUAAGAUGGGCAGAUCCUAGUGAAAAGGCCAUGUAGGUGGCAAAAGCAAAAGGUGGCCAAGGCUUAGCGUUAGGGGAAGACAUUACAGGUACGUUCUGAACUGGCAUAGUGUGGAUUUACAGUGAGGUACCUGUGGAUUCCUUUUCUGCUGCUGCCAUGAAAAUGAUGAGAAGGGCUUUGCUAAUGCUGAAGCAAUCCAUCCCAUGUAUGCCAUACAGAUGAUGAUGAACGUGCCCAGUCUUCCUUGUAUCCUAUAAUACGUUUUGGAUAAAUACAGUGUUGGUGUCUCUGGUCUCUUAGCUAAAACAACACGACUGGCUAUAAAUUUUGCUUCUUUUUUAUGUUUACGUAGAAAUAAGCUAGCAUUUAAAUGUAUGUAUAAGAGAAUUUUAAGACUUGAGCAGCUAACCUCAGUGCAUUGCAGAAUAGCCAGUAAAGUCUGUGUGUUGAAUUUAACUGAUACCACAACAAAAAUUAAGAUAUCUUGCUCUUCUACAAUGUUACGUGCACCUAUUUUUAUUAGAACUGUUCAAUUGGAAAAGGGCCUGCGAAGGCCAUGUAGUCUGCCUGCCUGACCUCUUUAGGGCCAUGGUUCUCAUAGCUCUUGAUGCCCCACGCCUGUCCAUGUUCGACCACCUUGCUGGUAAGCCUGUUCCAGUGUUUGCCCGUGCUUGCAGAAAAUAAAUACCUCCUAAUACCCAGUCCUCUCCUUCCACAGCUUUGGGCUGUUCCCUUGCACUGUGAACAGUGGUAUAAUUGCCUCCUUUGACUAGCUGGCUAUGUUGCAUUUAAUGCAUCCCAAAAUGUGAUGCCAGGGCAUCAGUACAGCUUCCACUAAAAUCUCUCCAAAAUAGGAAUCCUUAAGGUGUCCAGAGAAAGUCAAAAGCUACAUCAAAAUGUGUUCUUUAAAAACUGUCACAGGAGAUAUAUAUAUAUUUGGCUGAAAACAUGCCUCUCUGCUGUAAGCUGCCAAAGGAAGGCCUAGCACUAUGAACUAUUAAAAUGCAGUAAAAUUCAAGGUCCUACUCAUAAAUCUGCUGGCAGAGGAUAUAUGUGGCUUCUAAAUCGUAUAAUGGUGUUACCAUCUACCAAGCUUAAUUUUAUCAAAUGUGGACUUGUCAAUCUUAUCCUGAAAGCAUGAAACACAAGUUGAAAUCAGGUUAUAAAAAUACACUUAAUAGCAAGCAGUUGUUCUUCUGGCAGGUGAUUUUUAAUCUUGAGUGAAAUAUGGACUUGUAUGAUCAUUUAUAUAUAUAUAUUUUUUUACAUUGCUGCAAGGACUUGACAAAAUGUGCAUGGUCUUCAUAGGUCUCACUAUGGUUUAUGCGUAGUUUAAAAAACAAAAACAAAACACCUGUAAGCUGAUAAUCUGUGAACAGGAAUCAUCUAUGAGGCUGUUUUAAGAUAAUUUAAGAGGAGCUGCUGAAUGCAUGAGUUCUGCAUUCUGUCUUACACAAGUCAUUCAGCAGAGUUGGAGUUUCCUAUCAAAGUUCAAGAUGGAAAAAGUGUCUUAGGAAAACUUGAGGGCAUUUUCUGCUUUAGAAAUCAAAACCUCCUACUACUGUGAUGAGGCAGGAUGAUGAAUGCAUGUGCCACUACUUCUUACACUGUUCAACUACAGAUCUAUUCACUGAUAGGCCCCCAAAAUGUCCAGUUCUAGUCAUGCCGCAGAUCAGAUGUCUCUUCCUCUUUUUUUGUCACUGUCCUAAAAAAAGAAAGAACCAUAGAUAAGUUCCCUGCAUUUAAAAAUGAGUCAAAUUAAUUGAGCGCAGCAUAGGAAGCGUUCUUGCUAAGUUAGGCUGAACACAAGUUGUUAUUUUAAUCACUGUGGGUGGUAAGUAGGUCUAACUAAAAAAAAAAAAAACACACACA